UGACCAUUGAUGACUGCACGUUCCAGAG
rnacentral:piRNA from 1 species